CAGAGGUGAUCUAGCUACAAGGAGGAAGCAGGGUAGACUAGAACUGCAAAUUGCUGAUAGCCAAGUGGUUGCUAUUUGCCUGAGAUACAGAACACAACUGUCACAUUUCGAAAGGAUGUUGAAUCCUCAUCCCAGAUUGUAAAGAAACUGAACUUGGAGUAGUUGGUGAAGCAGUCAGAAGCAGAAACGAAUCAGCUUUGUCUCUGGAAAACACUUGGUUUCAUUUGCAACUGUUAGUUAUUUGUGACCUUCCAGCGGCUAUCCUCGGCCAUAGCGAGUGACCUCCCUAAUCCCACACUGAACGGGCAAGCGGCGCGAUGGGGGAAGGUGCCUAACUGCGUCCUUAAGGACUUGAGGACAACAAAAUGUAGGCAAUAUUUAUACUUUCAUCUUUGAAAAUAAAGUCAUAUCUGAGCAAAAGCUGCUUUAUGUUAUGCUCAAAGCUAUGAAGACGACAUACAAG